UUGGUCUUUACUGACAGAGAAAGAGCAAUCCAAGAGAUGCGUCGACAUGGUCUUCCUACACCACCCCUUAGCUCUACUCUGAAGUCUCCUUCAAGUUCUCCUGAACAUAUAAAUAUAUAAUUAUCAGAAAGAAUAAUGGCUUUCAAUGAGUUCCUAUAUGGAUUUUUAAAAGAACAGAACAGUAGUGAAAUAUUUGAAGUACUUGUUCCUGAAAAUCAUGAACAUUGAUACAAAUUCUACCUCUGUCAAUUUUUAUUUAAAUCAGUGAAUAUUUAUGUGAAAAAGUUUGGUUUAAAAGAACUUUAUGUGUAUAUUUUUAUAUAUAUGACAGAACAAAAUAUGUAUUAAUAGUGCUUAACUGAUGUUAUCUUCAUAUUUUUAUUAUUCCUGACUUAAGUCCUCAAAGUGUGUUUAUACUGUGAAUUAAUAUAAUGUAUUGUUCACAUUAUGCUUUAAUAAUCUAUUUCUUAAUGAGCCAUGAAAUAUGUGUGUAAAUAUUCUUACAGUACUUGUUUUUAAAGUUUUUUUAGUUUUCAUGCCUGUAUUUAUAACCUAUAUCGUUUUGUAAUCACAAAGACUUAUCAACUUUGAUAUUUUGCUGUCAUGCUUAACUUUUUUCUUCAGAAUGUAAAAUUAAUUAUUCACAGAUUUGCUCUCUGUCAUUGAAGGGAAUAUAUUCAGGACUAGUCUUAUAAUAUCAGAACUCUUGAUAAAAUAAUGAUUAUCAUAUAUAAUUUGUUAUUGCCAAUUAGAAGAACUAUGAUGGGAAAGACAUUUAUAUACAAUAUUAUAUUAUUUUGGCUGUCACAUGAACUCUUCACAUAAUACAGAUUCUUUCAAAAUCAACUAAAAUCUAUAGAGUUUUGUAAAACAAUAGAACAGAAAUUUGGGACUUUUCAGUAAAUAAAAUCAGUAUAUUAAUCUAAAAUUUCAGAGUGUAGAAGUAUAUGGGGUUAAAAUAGUAAAACAUUGUUAAAAUUCCAAUAUACAUUAAAUAAUAUCAGUUUUUUGCUUCUAAACCUGUAUGUUGUAAUUUACCACUCUUCCAGAAUAAUAUGUAAACACUGAACUAUGGCAUGUAAAUUGAAAACCACUUUUUACAAUUAAUUUUCAAAGUUGUAAUUUUAAGGAAUUUAGGUGUAUACAUGUAUUAAUAAAAGAACAGAAGUGCAAAGUAGAAUGUCAGAUACAAAAAUCAUAUUUGAAUUGUACAAAUUUGAAGAAAAUCCUGUUCCUAAUAGAUUUCAUUAUGAUUGAAAAAGAACUCAAAAAACUAACAUAGGAAAGUGAAAGACCAAUUAGUUUCCUCUUGUGGUUUAAUAAAGUGGAGUGUGUGUGUGUGUGUGUGUGUGUGUGUGUGUGUGUACCUGGGGGAGGGCAGUGCUCUUUUUCUAAAACUAAUUUGCCAUAUAUGUUCAGGUUAUGUCCUUUGCAACAAUUCAGUGUGUAUUUGGGUGUGGGGUGGCUUACUUUUCCACCAUCUUUGUAAUUUUAUGUUUCCCAUCUCCUUUGUGUGAAUUUGUGUUAUAUAGCAAAACACAAGAGAAGUGGGACUACUUGCUAUGUCAUGUGGAAACUUUUAAUAAAUAUAUGUAAAUAAAAAAUAUUUGUCCCUACCUUUUCCCUCAAAGUAACAGCAAGACAUAUUUUCUUAGAUACUUUGUAUUUAAUGUUUUCUAUAUUUAAAAAAUGUAUAACUUGCCAUAAUUGUUAUUUUCAGAACCAUGAUACUAAAAUUUUUUUAACAAUUAGUUUUAUCUAAAAUAAUGUUCUGACCUUACAUAGAUGUUUUUAACUUUGUUUUAAAUAAAUUUAAAUUGCGAAGCUUGACAUAGAUUUGGCAAUAAACUUUCCAGUCAAUUUUUUUUCCUUAAAAA